AUUAUCUGCAUGCUCUGUGGGCCUGUAUACCUGCUCACAGUGCACCAUGGGUGUCACAGAUAAUUAUCUGCAUGCUCUGUGGGCCUGUAUACCUGCUCACAGUGCACCAUGGGUGUCACAGGUAAUUAUCUGCAUGCUCUGUUGGCCUGUAUACCUGCUC